UGAGUAUCAAAGAUGAAAGGAAACUCUGCUAUCAGCUCUGAGCUUGUGCAAUAUUGAAGAAAUUGGUUACCACUGAGGAAUACAGAAAUCCUGCAUCACAAUCACAUCCUAUUGUCUUCCUUGAUAUCCACAAUGCCUGACACAGCCACGUGACAAAGGCCAGUAUCUCCAGAGAUCUGUCCUGCCAAAUUUCAAGACCACCUUUCUCUUCACUGUGAGACCAAGAAUGGUGUGUUCCAUGUUGUGUCCUUCCUUACUUGAGACUUGGCCCAGAAGCAUAGCCUGCCAGAACUGAGUCCUACUACUCCGAAAGGCAAGCU